rnacentral:snoRNA from 1 species
AAAAAAGCAGGGUGCUGCUCUCUGUAUAAGCAUUGUCCUCGUAUACUUUAGGAAUAUCAUAUUCAUUGUUAUUGGGUGAACCGGUUUACACCGUAUAAUGUUGAUUGGUUCAGUAAAUGAUGACACAUUU